rnacentral:lncRNA from 1 species
UCACAUAGAUCUAGUUCUGUUCUGACAAAAUAUUUUACAUUUGUAGUUAUUGUUACUAAGGAUUUGAUGUUUCCCACAAUUUCAUUUCUAACUGGUUACUAGUAGCAGAUGGAAAAUAUGUUAAUUUUCAUAUAUUUAUCUUCAAUCAAGCCACUUUACCAAAUUCUCUAAUUAAUUAUAGAAGUUAUUGAUAAGAGUCUCUUGGGUUUAAAUGGUUAUAAUUGUAUGAUUUAUAAAUAGAUUUAAUUUUUUUUUCAAUAUUCACUCUGAUGAUUUAAUUUUUUUUUUCUUCAAAGAAGGAGAACAAAAAGGUGACAGAAGGCACCCGUGUAUUGUUCCUGAUUUGGAUGGAUGUACUGUGUAGAUUUUGGAAGUCAUUUUCCAGAUGUGAGGGUGACCUGGCUGUGACAUCUGUUGCCCCAUUAAUGGCCAGGAUUGUUCGACUGAUCUGGCUGGCUACGCAGGUGUCCCCUUCCUUCCUCACUGUUCCAUGUGCCUUCCUCUGGAAGCCGCAUCCUUGGUCGAAGAGGAUGACCAUCCCCAAUAGAGGAGGGCUGGUCUUCAAUCAAGGGUGUAUGAGUAGCUGCACUCCCCGAUAGAACCUCCAAACAAGCUCUGAAAAAAUGAAGACUUUUCUGAUAUCAACUAAUAAUGUGGAGAGAGUACUGGAGUUAAAUCAUCGUUUUGCAAAAAUCAUAAUAAAACUGGUUCAGGCAAGAAUCAUCAACGGAUAUUAAAUGUAGUGAGAAGUAUGUGUAGACAGCACUUUGAUCAGUGAUCAAAAUUAAUGCCACCAACGAAGGACAGAAAAACAACAUGUGCCUCCAGAUAUAAUACACUCAGAAGUAUCUUUUAUGUAGUACUCGGACUGAGAAUGUGAAACCUAAUCUUGAGGGACCAUUAGACAGACUCCAACUUCUGAUUGAUUUUUAUAAAUACUUCAGUGCUCAAAAGGCAAAUGUGUUUUUUUAUAUCUGUAGAACUGUAAAUUUUCUAUGUAUUAAUGUGGGUUGUUGAUGUAUGUGUAUAUAUAUACACACACACACACAUAUAUAUGUGUGUACAUAUAUAUUUUGAGACAGAGUCUUGCUCUGUCACCCAGACUGGAGUGCAGUGGCGUGAUCUCGGCUCACUGCAACCUCUGCCUCCCAGGUUCAAGCAAUUCUCCCACCUCAGCCUCCUGAGUAGCUAGGAUUACAGGUGCACAAACUGCACCCAGCAAAUUUUUGUAUUUUUAGUAGAGUCGGGGCUUCACCAUGUUGGUCAGGCUGGUCUCGAACUCCUGACCUCAUGAUCACCCUCCUUUGCCUCUCAAAGUGCUGGGAUUAAAGGCGUGAGCCACCAUGCCCGGCCUGAUGUAUAUUGUUAAUUGUGGUUGUGUCGUAUGGGUCCUUGCCUUUCUUGUUAUAUUUUGUUUACUCUUAGGUCUAUCACCUUCUGAAAAGAGCACAUUAAAAUCUCCCAUGGGAGUUGUAAUUUUAAAAUCAAAUUCUCCUUGUAUUUCUAUGAGUUUUUGCCUUAUAUUUAGCUGUGACUUUUUAGGAGGAAGAAAGUUUCAUGACUUUUCAUUUUCUUUAUCCUUUGUAAUGUUCUGAUCUUAAAUGCAUUUUAUGUGAUAUAUUAUUGCAACUUUUCUUUCAUUUUGUUUGAAUUUGCUUGGAAUCCCUUUAUUUUAACUCUUUUCUAAUCUUUUAAAGUGUAUUUCUUAUUUUUAAAUUCAAUAUAUUAUACUUCAAUAAAGGAAUUCAGACCAUCUGCAUUUAGGAUAGUAAAUAUCCUUCCAUGUAAUUUUAUGUUUCUCUGUAUUUUACUUUGUUAUUACUUCCUUUUUUCCCUUAAUUAAUUAAUUUGCUAGCUUGAGUAAAUUGUCAUUUAAUCCUUUCUUUUUUCCUCUUGCUAAUUUUGAAGUAUUUCUCUGCUUUUCAAUUCUGCAAGUGGUUACUUUUUUCCCCAAGAAUCAUCAUUGAGCAUAUAUUAUCUCUUAUGUCUGAUUAUGAUAGCAAUUAUCAACUUGCUCCCAACAAAUUGUUUGUUUACCUAUCCCUCUCUACUAAGAGCAAAAUGAAAGGAAACCAUUAGAAAUGCUUUAUUUCUUUACUCUUAAACUUUCUCUUAAUUUUCUUUUCCAGGUCUUGCUCAAAUAGUUUAAAACAUUUAGUUUAGGCUAUUGUAUUAGUCAGGGUUGUCCAGAGAUACAGAACCAAGAGAAUCUAUGAAAUGGAAUUUAUUAGCGGAAUUGGCUCACAUGAUCACAGAAGUAGAGAAGUCUCCCAAUAGGCUGUCUACAAGUUGGAGAACCAGAGAGGCACGUAGCCUGACUCAGUCCAAUUCCAGAAGCCUUAGAACCAGGGAAGCACCCAGUGUGAGGAACCAAGGAGGCUACUGGUUCAGGUCCCAGAGUCCCAAAGCCAAAGAACCUGGAGUCUAAUGCCCGAGGGCAAGAGGAGAAAGA